rnacentral:rRNA from 1 species
AUCUGGUUGAUCCUGCCAGUAGUCAUAUGCUUGUCUCAAAGAUUAAGCCAUGCAUGUCUAAGUAUAAGCAAUUAUACCGCGAAACUGCGAAUGGCUCAUUAAAUCAGUUAUCGUUUAUUUGAUAGUACCUUACUACUUGGAUACCUGUGGUAAUUCUAGAGCNNNUACAUGCUGAAANAUCCCGACUCACGGAGGGAUGUAUUUAUUAGAUUAAAAACCAAUGCCCCUCGGGGCUUUCUGGUGAUUCAUAAUAACUUCACGAAUCGCACGGCCUUGCGCCGGCGAUGGUUCAUUCAAAUUUCUGCCCUAUCAACUUUCGAUGGCAGGGUCUUGGCCUGCCAUGGUUUCAACGGGUAACGGAGGGUUAGGGCUCGACCCCGGAGAAGGAGCCUGAGAAACGGCUACUACAUCCAAGGAAGGCAGCAGGCGCGCAAAUUACCCAAUCCCGACACGGGGAGGUAGUGACAAUAAAUACUGAUACAGGGCUCUUUUGGGUCUUGUAAUUGGAAUGAGUACAAUUUAAAUCCCUUAACGAGGAACAAUUGGAGGGCAAGUCUGGUGCCAGCAGCCGCGGUAAUUCCAGCUCCAAUAGCGUAUAUUAAAGUUGUUGCAGUUAAAAAGCUCGUAGUUGAACCUUGGGCCUGGCUGGCCGGUCCGCCUCACCGCGUGCACUGGUUCGGCCGGGCCUUUCCCUCUGGGGAGCCCUAUGCCCUUCACUGGGUGUAGUGGGGAACCAGGACUUUUACUGUGAAAAAAUUAGAGUGUUCAAAGCAGGCAUUUGCUCGAAUACAUCAGCAUGGAAUAAUAGAAUAGGACGUGUGGUUCUAUUUUGUUGGUUUCUAGGACCGCCGUAAUGAUUAAUAGGGACAGUCGGGGGCAUCAGUAUUCAAUUGUCAGAGGUGAAAUUCUUGGAUUUAUUGAAGACUAACUACUGCGAAAGCAUUUGCCAAGGAUGUUUUCAUUAAUCAGGAACGAAAGUUAGGGGAUCGAAGACGAUCAGAUACCGUCGUAGUCUUAACCAUAAACUAUGCCGACUAGGGAUUGGACAAUGUUAUUUUUUGACUUGUUCAGCACCUUACGAGAAAUCAAAGUUUUUGGGUUCUGGGGGGAGUAUGGUCGCAAGGCUGAAACUUAAAGAAAUUGACGGAAGGGCACCACCAGGAGUUAAACGGACCGCCGCCGCAGUCUCUGCUCCAGAAAGCAUAGCCUGUAAUGGGUUGGUGGUAAGCCCUCGAUAUAUGCUAGUCAGGUGGUAAUAAUCUGCUGUAUUAAAUAGUGAGGUUAUUCCUGGCGACAUCCUCAAAUUGCGGGGAAGCCCUACAACAAAAGCAAUGACUACUAAGCGCGCCUUGAAAAAGAGCGCGUGGCGGAGCGUAACGGCUCCGGUACAGUAAGAACGUGAUUGCCUGGGGUCAUCCGCAGCCAAGCUCCUUAUAGGGAUAUAUGAGAGAAGGUUCAGAGACUUGACGGGGAUGGGUGAACUCGCAACCAGGUUCGCUUAAGAUAAAGUCCAUUAAAGGCACGAAAGUGUCCUUUUAACAACCCCCUAUAACAGGGAGCCUGCGGCUUAAUUUGACUCAACACGGGGAAACUCACCAGGUUAACUGAACAGUUACUGUCUGGGCCUGGAAUAGUGAUUUGUUUCGCUAGUGCUAGACACUUGUCUACGUGGGAAAGCUCCCGAUUCGGACGUAGAGCGGUGGCCUCGCUACCGUUGUCUAGUGCACACCAGCUGGUACAGGGAACGCUAACCCUACAUUCGUAGGUAUGCCAAUCCUGUGGCGAGCUCAGGUUGCGCUGAGCCGUUGCAACGCGCGGNAAAGCGGUGGGCUGCGUCUAUUCGACGUGGCUUAAGGUACGUGCUAAUCCUACGAGAAAUCGUAGCCUUCUUGACUAGGUCCGAAUGUCCUAAUCAAGGAGGGCAGGGCNCGGCUUGUUUUACUGCAAGCCCGGCCCUGCGUGUUGGGGGGGGGGGGGGGGAUAGACGAUGUGCCCGCCCCUCUGGAGAAUGCAGACACAAUGAGGAUUGACAGAUUGAGAGCUCUUUCUUGAUUAUGUGGGUGGUGGUGCAUGGCCGUUCUUAGUUGGUGGAGUGAUUUGUCUGCUUAAUUGCGAUAACGAACGAGACAUUUACCUGCUAAAUAGCCCGUAUUGCUUUGGCAGUACGCUGGCUNCUUAGAGGGACUAUCCGCUUAAGCGGGUGGAAGUUGGAUGCAAUAACAGGUCUGUGAUGCCCUUAGAUGUUCUGGGCCGCACGCGCGUUACACUGACAGAGACAGCGAGUACUUCCUUAGUAGAGAUACUUGGGUAAUCUUGUUAAACUCUGUCGUGCUGGGGAUAGAGCAUUGCAAUUAUUGCUCUUCAACGAGGAAUUCCUAGUAAGCGUAAGUCAUCAACUUGCGUUGAUUACGUCCCUGCCCUUUGUACACACCGCCCGUCGCUACUACCGAUUGAAUGGCUCAGUGAGGCUUUCGGACUGGCCCAGAGGAGUCGGCANCGACACUUCAGGGCCGGAAAGUCAUCCAAACUCGGUCAUUUAGAGGAAGUAAAAGUCGUAACAAGGUCUCCGUUGGUGAACUGCGGAAGGAUC